AGUGAACGCUGGCGGUAGGCCUAACACAUGCAAGUCGAACGGCAGCACAGUAAGAGCUUGCUCUUACGGGUGGCGAGUGGCGGACGGGUGAGGAAUACAUCGGAAUCUACUUUUUCGUGGGGGAUAACGUAGGGAAACUUACGCUAAUACCGCAUACGACCUACGGGUGAAAGCAGGGGAUCUUCGGACCUUGCGCGAUUGAAUGAGCCGAUGUCGGAUUAGCUAGUUGGCGGGGUAAAGGCCCACCAAGGCGACGAUCCGUAGCUGGUCUGAGAGGAUGAUCAGCCACACUGGAACUCAGACACGGUCCAGACUCCUACGGGAGGCAGCAGUGGGGAAUAUUGGACAAAGGGCGCAAGCCUGAUCCAGCCAUACCGCGUGGGUGAAGAAGGCCUUCGGGUUGUAAAGCCCUUUUGUUGGGAAAGAAAAGCAGCAGGUUAAUACCCCGCUGUUCUGACGGUACCCAAAGAAUAAGCACCGGCUAACUUCGUG
rnacentral:rRNA from 1 species